UGGGGAAUAUUGGACAAUGCGGGCAACCGUGAUCCAGCAAUGCCGCGUGAGUGAAGAAGGCCUUAGGGUUGUAAAGCUCUUUUACCCGGGAUGAUAAUGACAGUACCGGGAGAAUAAGCCCCGGCUAACUCCGUGCCAGCAGCCGCGGUAAUACGGAGGGGGCUAGCGUUGUUCGGAAUUAUUGGGCGUAAAGAGCGUGUAGGCGGCCUGGUAAGUCUGCCGUGAAAACCUGGGGCUCAACCCUGGGCGUGCGGUGGAUACUGCUAGGCUAGAGGAUGGUAGAGGCGAGUGGAAUUCCCGGUGUAGCGGUGAAAUGCGCAGAUAUCGGGAGGAACACCAGUAGCGAAGGCGGCUCGCUGGGCCAUUCCUGACGCUGAGACGCGAAAGCGUGGGGAGCAAACAGGAUUAGAUACCCCUGUAGUCC
rnacentral:rRNA from 1 species